AAAGUCGUAACAAGGUUUCCGUAGGUGAACCUGCGGAAGGAUCAUUACUGGAAAUAUUCAAGGUUUUUGUAAGCUGGCCUUUCGAGGCAUGUGCUCACCUUGUUUCAAUCCAAUUCACACCUGUGCACACUUUGUAGUGUUUAGUUGUUGUAAAAUGACUAACUCUACGUAUUUUUAUACAUACACAUAAAGUUUUAGAAUGUUAAUACUUGUGAUAAUACACAUUUAAAACAACUUUCAACAACGGAUCUCUUGGCUCUC
rnacentral:misc_RNA from 1 species